rnacentral:lncRNA from 1 species
CGCAAAGCAGACUAUUUUCUUCCAGAAAAUCAAUCCCUGGAUAAGUUCCCAAAUAUAAGCAAAGAGAUUCCUGAAAUUAUAACAUAAAUAUUGACAGAACAGAAAUAAUCUGGAGAGAAAAGGGGUCAGACGGGUCCACAUUCAAAGCACUAAAAGCACUUUCAUAAGAAACUGUAAAAAUGGAAACUGCAACGACACAGACCUGAUCUGACUCUCAAAAAGAGGAAAUAUUAAUAUGACCCGGCUUUUAUACCACUGUUUGUGCUGAAUGCACCAUGCACCAGCAAGUUUCUAACGUGUUCAGUGGGACCAUACGCACUUUAAGGUAAUACCGAACAGAAAUAUCAGAGUUUGAGUUCAUGCAUAU